rnacentral:rRNA from 1 species
UACAGGGGGCUCGAGCGUUAGUCGGAAUCACUGGGCUUAAAGGGUGCGUAGGCGGCCCGCCAAGUGCUUUGUGAAAUCCCACAGCUCAACUGUGGAACAGCAGGGCAAACUGGCGGGCUUGAAGCAGGUAGGGGCUGGAAGAACAGUUGGUGGAGCGGUGAAAUGCGUAGAUAUCAACUGGAAUGCCGAGUAGGGGCAAGCCGUCCAGCUGGGCCUGUCUUGACGCUGAGGCACGAAAGCGUGGGGAGCAAACAGG